rnacentral:rRNA from 1 species
AGAGUUUGAUCCUGGCUCAUAUUGAACGCUGGCGGCAGGCCUAACACAUGCAAGUCGAGCGGAUGAUGGGAGCUUGCUCCCGGAUUCAGCGGCGGACGGGUGAGUAAUGCCUAGGAAUCUGCCUGGUAGUGGGGGACAACGUUUCGAAAGGAACGCUAAUACCGCAUACGUCCUACGGGAGAAAGCAGGGGACCUUCGGGCCUUGCGCUAUCAGAUGAGCCUAGGUCGGAUUAGCUAGUUGGUGGGGUAAAGGCCUACCAAGGCGACGAUCCGUAACUGGUCUGAGAGGAUGAUCAGUCACACUGGAACUGAGACACGGUCCAUACUCCUACGGGAGGCAGCAGUGGGGAAUAUUGGACAAUGGGCGAAAGCCUGAUCCAGCCAUGCCGCGUGUGUGAAGAAGGUCUUCGGAUUGUAAAGCACUUUAAGUUGGGAGGAAGGGCAGUAAGUUAAUACCUUGCUGUUUUGACGUUACCAACAGAAUAAGCACCGGCUAACUUCGUGCCAGCAGCCGCGGUAAUACGAAGGGUGCAAGCGUUAAUCGGAAUUACUGGGCGUAAAGCGCGCGUAGGUGGUUUGGUAAGAUGGAUGUGAAAUCCCCGG